CUGAAACUUUGCUGAAGUUGUUUAUCAGAUCAAGGAGCCUUUGGGCAGACACCAUGGGGUUUGCCAGGUAUUGAAUAAUAUCCUCUGCAAACAAGCAUAGUUUGACUUCCUCUCAUUAUUUGAAUACCUUUUAUUUCUUUCUCUUGCCUAAUUGCUCUGGUUAGGACUUCCAGAACUAUGUUGAAUAGGAGUGGUGAGAAUGAGCAUCCUUGUCUUGUUCCACUUUUCAAGGGAAAUGUUCCAGCUUUUGUCCAUUCAGUAUGAUGUUGACCAUGGGUUUGUCAAAGAUAGCUCUUAUUAUUUUGAGAUAUGUUUCUUCAAUACUUAUUUUAUUGAGGGUUUUUAACAUGAAUGGAUGUUUAAUUUUAUCAAAAUAUUUUCUGCAUCUAUCAGGAUGAUUAUGUGGUUUUCACAUGGACACAAACAACUAUGACACUACUCUUGUGACUUAGGACCAUUGUUAAGUAAUACAAAGCUUCCCUGAACAAAACCACUGGAUACCCCAACAGUUGAUCUGAUGACCCAGACAACUGAUUACCAAGUGACUAACACAUAGGUAGCAUGUCCAGCCUGGAAAUGCUGAACAAAGCGAUGAUUCAUGUCCCAGCCAGGAGGGAGUAGGACAGUGCAAAAUUUGAUAAUGCUACGCAGAAGAGCAUGCAAUCUAAAGCAUAUGAAGUGUUUAUUUUAUUUCUAGAAUUUUCCAAUUAAUAUUUUCAAACUGUGUUUGGCCACAGGUAACUGAAACUGCAGAAAGAGAAACCAUUAAUAAAAACAGACUGCUGUAUUUAAUGUUGUCAUAGUUUAGUUAAUGAACACUUGGGUUACUUUCAUCUUGGGCUAUUAUGAAUAAAGCUGCUAUGACUGUUCAUGGAAAAGUCUUUUUGUGGAUAUAUGCUUAUACCUAGUUGUGGAAUUGCUGUUUUUUAUGUAAGUGUCGUUUACCUUUAUAGGAAACUGUCAAACUUUUCCAAACUGUUUGUCAAUUUGAUACUCCCACUAGCACUUUAUGCACUUUAUGAAAUUUCCAAUUGUUCUACACCUUUGGAAUUGUCAGAUAUUUGCCAUCUUACUGGGCUGUAAUAUUUCCUUGUGAUUCUGUUGUGCAUUUUUCCAAUGACUAAAGGUGUUGAGCGUAUUUUUGCAUGCUUGUUAGCCACCUAUGCAUCUUUUUUGUGAAGUUAUUGAUUAAAUAUUUUUCUUCUUUCUUUCUUUCUCUCUCUCUCUCUCUUUCUUUCUUUCUCUUUCUUUUUCUUUCUUUUUUUUAGAUGGAGUCUAGCUCUGUCACCAGGCUGGAGUGCAGUGGCAUGAUCUUGACUCACUGCAACCUUCACCUCCCAGGUUCAAGCAAUUGUACUGCCACAGCCUCCCAAGUAGCUGGGAUUACAGGCACGUGCCGCCAUGCCCAGCUAAUUUUUGCAUUUUUAGUAGAGAUGUGGUUUCACCAUGUUGGCCAAGAUGGUCUCAAUCUCCUGACCGUGUGAUCUGCCCACCUGGACCUCCCAAAGUGCUGGGAUUACAGGAGUGAGCCACUGCACCCGGCCUGAUUAAAUAUUUUUCUAUCUUUGUAGGUUGUUUGUUUUACUAUCAUGUUUGUAAGAAUUAUUUUUAUAUUCUGGAUACAAGUUCUUUGUUAGGAGUGUAUUGUAGACACUUUUUCCAAGUCUGUGUCUUGCCUGAAAAGGCAAUGAAAAUUUUCUUAACAAUAUCUUUUGAAGAAUAGGGUUUUAGUUCUUGUUUAGACAGCACAUAUACUAAAAUUGGAAUGAUACAGAGAAGAUUAGCAUGACCCUGCACAAGGAUGAAGAGUAGGUUUUAAAUUUUCAUAAAGUCCAGUUUAUCUGUUUUUUUAUAGAGUGAUUUUUAUGUUUUGUCUAAGAAAUCUUUGCUUAUUCUAAGGUAGCAAAUAUUUUUCUCCUCUAUUUUCUACUAGAAGAUUUUGGUUUUGGCUUUUACAUUUAGGUCUGUGACUUUCAGCACACUAAAUACAGUAGUCCCUUCUUAUCCAUGUUUCUC
rnacentral:lncRNA from 1 species